rnacentral:rRNA from 1 species
CCUACGGGUGGCAGCAGUGAGGAAUAUUGGUCAAUGGACGCAAGUCUGAACCAGCCAUGCCGCGUGCGGGAAGACGGCUCUAUGAGUUGUAAACCGCUGUUGUACGAGGGUAAACGCAGAUACGCGUAUCUGUCUGAGAGUAUCGUACGAAUAAGGAUCGGCUAACUCCGUGCCAGCAGCCGCGGUAAUACGGAGGAUUCAAGCGUUAUCCGGAUUUAUUGGGUUUAAAGGGUGCGUAGGCGGUAGGAUAAGUUAGGGGUUAAAUCCCGGGGCUCAACUUCGGAAUUGCCUAUGAUACUGUUCGGCUAGAGAGUAGUUGCGGUAGGCGGAAUGUAUGGUGUAGCGGUGAAAUGCUUAGAUAUCACGAAGAACUCCGAUUGCGAAGGCAGUUCACUGGACUGCAACUGACACUGAGGCUCGAAAGUGUGGGUAUCGAACAGGAUUAGAUACCCUUGUAGUC